AAUCUGGGGCCCUCGGCCUCCGAGUUGUAAUUUGGAGAGGCAUCUUCGGAGGGGAGCGCCGGCCCAUGUUCCUUGGAACAGGACGUCGCAGAGGGUGAGAAUCCCGUGCCAGGCCGGCAGCCUCCUCUCGCGUGAAGCGCCUUCGACGAGUCGAGUUGUUUGGGAAUGCAGCUCCAAGUGGGUGGUAUAUUUCAUCUAAAGCUAAAUACCGGCGGGAGACCGAUAGCGCACAAGUAGAGUGAUCGAAAGAUGAAAAGCACUUUGAAAAUAGAGUCAAAAAGUACGUGAAAUUGUUGAAAGGGAAGCGCUUGAGACCAGACUCAGACCCGAGCAAACACCGUGCCCCUCGGGGCCGUGCAAUUGCCAGGGGCUGGGCCAGCAUCAGUUGGCGUGGCGGGACAAAGGUGCGGGCAAUGUGGCUCCCCUCGGGGAGUGUUAUUAGGCCCGCGCUCAAUGCCGCCGACGUCGACUGAGGACCGCGCCUCGGCUAGGAUGCUGGCUUAAUGGCCUUCAGCGACCCGUCUUGAAACACGGA
rnacentral:rRNA from 1 species